UGGGGAAUUUUGGACAAUGGGCGAAAGCCUGAUCCAGCAAUGCCGCGUGUGUGAAGAAGGCCUUCGGGUUGUAAAGCACUUUUGUCCGGAAAGAAAUCCUUGGCUCUAAUACAGUCGGGGGAUGACGGUACCGGAAGAAUAAGCACCGGCUAACUACGUGCCAGCAGCCGCGGUAAUACGUAGGGUGCAAGCGUUAAUCGGAAUUACUGGGCGUAAAGCGUGCGCAGGCGGUUUGCUAAGACCGAUGUGAAAUCCCCGGGCUCAACCUGGGAACUGCAUUGGUGACUGGCAGGCUAGAGUAUGGCAGAGGGGGGUCAGAAUUCCACGUGUAGCAGUGAAAUGCGUAGAGAUGUGGAGGAAUACCGAUGGCGAAGGCAGCCCCCUGGGCCAAUACUGACGCUCAUGCACGAAAGCGUGGGGAGCAAACAGGAUUAGAUACCCUGGUAGUCCACGCCCUAAAACGAUGUCAACUAGUUGUUGGGGAUUCAUUUCCUUAGUAACGUAGCUAACGCGUGAAGUUGACCGCCUGGGGAGUACGGUCGCAAGAUU
rnacentral:rRNA from 1 species